rnacentral:rRNA from 1 species
AGAGUUUGAUCAUGGCUCAGGAUGAACGCUGGCGGCGUGCUUAACACAUGCAAGUCGAACGAAGCACUUACUUAGAUUCCUUCGGGGUGACGAGUUUGUGACUGAGUGGCGGACGGGUGAGUAACGCGUGGGUAACCUGCCUUAUACAGGGGGAUAACAGUUAGAAAUGACUGCUAAUACCGCAUAACCCGCUAGUAUCGCAUGAUACAGACGGAAAAGAUUUAUCGGUAUAAGAUGGACCCGCGUCUGAUUAGCUAGUUGGUGAGGUAACGGCUCACCAAGGCGACGAUCAGUAGCCGGCUUGAGAGAGUGAACGGCCACAUUGGGACUGAGACACGGCCCAAACUCCUACGGGAGGCAGCAGUGGGGAAUAUUGCACAAUGGGGGAAACCCUGAUGCCAGCGACGCCGCGUGAGUGAAGAAGCAUUUCGGUAUGUAAAGCUCUAUCAGCAGGGAAGAAAAUGACGGUACCUGACUAAGAAGCCCCGGCUAACUACGUGCCAGCCGCCGC